rnacentral:lncRNA from 1 species
GUGGGACUGCCAAACCCACAAACGAUUUGAGACUACCUCUCAGUUCAUGGCUUAGAAAAUGUAGUCUGUGUUAAGAGCUACGCAUGCUCCUAAGAGCCCAUAGUUUAGCCUAAAAGUCAUUCUGAUUGAUUCAUACACUGGCCAGGAUUUGGAGCAACAGGGAGGUGGGAGCAACAAAUAGAGCCAGGGAAAAAAGAAUGCAAUCAACAGAAAAUAUACUUCAGAGCUCUGUGGUAGUAGAGAUACUGGGUGCUAUUAGUAGUCAGUGGGAUUGAUGCUGGGACACCCUUAGAAAAGGCAGCAGGUAAUGAGAAACAGCAUUAAGAACAAAUCAAGGUGGGAAAAAUGUACUGCUCUUUCUUCUGAGAGAUUGUGGAUGGAAAACUUGGAGAGAGAUGGUGAAAAUACGAAAAGAGGCCAAACAAACAAAUUCCAUUAGAACCAGCACAGUGUUUUUAAAUCAUGUCCUUUAAUAAUCUAUUACUUGCAUUACCAUAACACAGCAUUGCAUUAUUUGGGCAUGCAAACAAUUGUUGAGUUCCCAACUUCUGCUGCUGGAAAAAAAUGAUGACCUGGGGGAAAGAAUUUCUGUAGUAAAUACCUCAGCAUGAAUAAUAAGAUGAGGUUAUUUAAGUGACAGCUCCUUGAAAAAUUAGCCUAAGUUCCUAAUAACUGUACUACAUAGCUUAAAGGAAUCUAAUUUUAUCUCUGCCUCCCACACAGUAAAUCUCCCUAUCACAUUAUUUCCUUGCUUCAUUGCUAUUUCUUUGCUUAAUAAUCAGCUACUUAAAAGAUUGGGGAUAAUGUUAAUAAUGGGCAAAUUAGAUACACAGAAAAGAAAUGUUUUCUGUUCUUUUAGAAGUAGCCAGAAUGACUGUCAUUAAACCGAAAUCAAGACUUGAGGAUGCAGCAUAGAAACAUGGGCAAGCUGCUGUGGAACAGGGCAAGGACUCUGGCUAAUGUCGGGCACAAAACAUUAGUCAGUGUUGCAAUGGUAAAAUAUUUAACAACAGCAGCUUCACUCCCCUUCAGCACUUUUUCCCCAUAAACUAAUUAAGCUAUAAUAUUAUGAGCGCUUCCUUUCAGGCUAGGUUUCCCUUUCAGCAUGACUACGGGCAGGCUGGGCAAAGCUGGGUUAUUGCUGUGAUUAAAAAACUGGCACUACAUUU